CUGAAAUAUGGUGACGGUGGCUUAUGAUGUGAAAGAAAUAAGAAGCAACCACUACACAUUGACUUAUCAUUAUAGAUAUAGACCUUAGAUUGAAGUCAUGUCAGAACAUCAGAUUUCCAACUACAUCAAGUUGACUUCUAAUCUUACGAUUACGAUGUAAAUUUUGAUGAAGAUGAACUCAUACAGAAAUCUUACCGAAGAACAGAAAGUUCUGAAUGGUGAGAAUGAACUGUUUGAAUAUUUAAAUGGUAUGGAAGAAGAGAAAAAUAACGAGGUAGAUCUUAUUGUGAACAGUCUGUGUAUGAAAUCUGUGGACAUGUCAAGCUUGUAAUUGGGCAUUGGCAUGAGCCGUCCUCAGUUCUCGCUAUUAUGAACAGAGUGUUUGCUGAUGGAAAAGAAACUGGACUUUGGAGUGCGUUACUAGGAACGGGAAAAAGUGAGAACGAUAUUCUAAUGCUCCAGAAAUUUACAGAUCAAUUAUGUUGCUGAAAUGUUUACUAAUUGGAUCAAAGCCCAAUGAGGUUUGAUAUAGCUGGUAGACAAGUUUCCAACAUUCAACUGUUUCGACAAUAAAGAUAUGAGUAGAGAGAAAUUGGCAACCGUAGAUGACACAAACUGGCAUUCAGAUUAAACCAUUGAUGAAGAGUAUACAGAAGCGACUGUUAUAUUUAACACAGUUAAUUCUCAAUGAUCCUGAGAUAGUUCACAUUUAAUCCGCAUUUUCCUAUUCACUGUUGGGUUUUUUAGCAUCUUUCGACACUGAUUCGUCAUCCAAUUGAAUUCAACCUUUCGUAUCGUGUUGUGUUUCAUGUACCUUGAUGUAAUUCUAGAUGGUAUGGCAAUCGUCAAUUUUUUCUUUUAUUCUUUGUUGAACCUUAAAUAAUGAUUAAAUAAGUUCCCCUUGCAAACCAAUAUACACUAUUGCGAAAUUAUGGUCAGUUACUUGAUAGGGCUAUGCAGUCUUUUAUGUCAUCUUUUUAUUAUUUAUAUUUUGUGAUAAGCAGAUAAGAAAGCAGAUAAGAGGAAAUAACUGAACCUCGAAUAAUGUAACUAUUAUUUUACAGAAUUCUAUGCCACAUUAGGGAGAUUUCACAACCUUACGAGAAUGAUAAGGAAUAUGAAUACGUCAGUAUCUUCAUUAUCGUGAUGCGUGCCUAAAAAAGACUUGAAAAUAUGCUGUACAAGCUAAAUAUGAUUCUUGAUUCAUGCAAAAGGCAUGAAUUGCCUACAUUGACAAAUAUGCUACUAUAGGGGGAGGGUUGUCUAAACAUUUGAUGACAGACGUAACCACAUUCGUUAUCAUUUUUGUAAGCUUGUGGAAACUCCAUAAAAAAAUAAAGCAAAACUAGUUUACCAUGCUGUCAUAAUAUUAAUAUUUCCAUUUAAAGCCAGGCACAUUUUUUCUUUUAGAUAUUUUGUAGAACUGAUUUUUAAAAAAAGCACAUUUGAUGAAAAACUCGAAAGCAGUCGAUGAGAUACAUAAUUUUGAAUAUUUAAAAACAGAAUUUUUUUUAAAAGUGCUACAGUAAAUAGACUGUAAGAAACUUAACAACAUUAACUAAACUGAAUUAUCUUAAAUACACUUACAUCGUUAACUGAAAUACUUUUAAUUGAUUUUUAUUUUCAUUUUAAAAUUGGAAAUUGUAUUUAAGUUUUUGAGGAAAGGGGGCGUAGCCACCAUUUUUUCCACCUUUUCCCAUUAUGAUGAUUUUUCCGUUUAGCCAUGUUUUGUAUCAAAACUUUUUAAUGAGCAAACAACCUUUUUGCCUUGAAAUCCUUUGAACAAUAGGUAAUUUUCUAUGUAGACAGAGUUAAGUAAAUUUGGGGGAGCAGCCUGUUUUCCUUAAAUCCCACGCUCAAUAGGUAAUCUUCUGUUUAUCCUUUUUUGGUAUCCAACAUUACUUUGUAGGAACAUUCUUAAUCCUGAAUAGUCUUUUGUGUCUGCCUUUCCCCUUUUUAGUUAAAAUGGGACUCGUUAGUGUAAAAGAUGAUUUCAGUUGCCUUGAAAUUAAACCUAAGUUGAUAAUCCCUAGCGAUAAAUCCUUAGUUUCUAUGCUUUAAAACAGAGCUCAAUCUAGAGUUUAAAUUACUGUUUUCUUCAUUUUUUAGCAGUU
rnacentral:lncRNA from 1 species